rnacentral:rRNA from 1 species
GACGAACGCUGGCGGCGUGCUUAACACAUGCAAGUCGAACGGAAAGGCCCUGCUUUUGUGGGGUGCUCGAGUGGCGAACGGGUGCGUAACACGUGAGUAACCUGCCCUUGACUUUGGGAUAACUUCAGGAAACUGGGGCUAAUACCGGAUAGGAGCUCCUGCUGCAUGGUGGGGGUUGGAAAGUUUCGGCGGUUGGGGAUGGACUCGCGGCUUAUCAGCUUGUUGGUGGGGUAGUGGCUUACCAAGGCUUUGACGGGUAGCCGGCCUGAGAGGGUGACCGGCCACAUUGGGACUGAGAUACGGCCCAGACUCCUACGGGAGGCAGCAGUGGGGAAUAUUGCACAAUGGGCGGAAGCCGUAUGCAGCAACGCCGCGUGCGGGAUGACGGCCUUCGGGUUGUAAACCGCUUUCGCCUGUGACGAAGCGUGAGUGACGGUAAUGGGUAAAGAAGCACCGGCUAACUACGUG